rnacentral:rRNA from 1 species
GCCCAGUGACAAAAUUGUUCAACGGCCGCGGUAUCCUAACCGUGCAAAGGUAGCAUAAUCACUUGCCCAUUAAUUGUGGGCUAGUAUGAAAGGGUUAACGAAAUAAAGACUGUCUCAAUUAAUCACCUAAAAACUAUUCUCUACUCGAAGAAAAGUAGAUACUCUCGAAGGACAAGAAGACCCUAUAGAGCUUAAUUUUACUUAUAGGUCACAUCACUAUAAAAAUAUUCGGUUGGGGCGACCCAGGGCUAAUUUAUCACCCACAAAAAAAAAGAUUCAUAAAUCAACUAAAUGACCCUCCUAGAUCAAAAGACCAAGCUACCUUAGGGAUAACAGGCUAAUCCCACUUAAGAGUCCUUAUCAACAGUGGGGUUUGGCACCUCGAUGUUGGCUUAGGGUAUCUAUAUAGCGCAAAAGUCAUAUAAAGAUGGUUUGUUCAACCAGUAAUUCCCUACAUGAGCUGAGUUCAGACCGGCGUAAGCCAGGUUAGCUUCUAUCCUCGACUAUAUCACCCUAUUCACAGUACGAAAGGACCCGAAUAAGAUAAUAACUUAUACAAAAGAAUACAUAUAAUUUCAUAUUAACAACAUACACUACACACUAUAAGUGUGUUGGCAGAAUAAUGCAACUGAUUUAGGAUCAGUAUAUGGUAUAUACCACACACUAUGUGACUUAGUUUAUCUAGAACAAUCAACUUGCACUUGAUAAGAGAAAUAUUUCAGUGACGGUUUGAGGUUUUGGAAACAAUAGAUCUUGAACAUCUAUAAAAACGUUCGACUCGUUAUCAAACCCAACAAGAUGGCAGAAUA